rfam:Gossypium raimondii Chr04_contig_76, whole genome shotgun sequence.
AUUUAAAAUUUUCAUUCAUUUCUAUUUUUAAAAAUUAGUGUGAUAGACAGAAUACCGGACAAUUACACAUGGUGUGCUAUAUGUAUCUCAUGUUGAUAUACAUGGAACAGUUUUUAAUAGUGGCCAUGGAUGAAAUUUUUAACA